rnacentral:lncRNA from 1 species
GGUGGAAUCUUAGGUUGUUUUGAUUUGCAUUUCCCUGAUGACUAAGGAUGUCUUUUUGCAUGAGAAGAGGGUUUAGUGAAGAUUAUCUAUAUAUAUAUUCACAUUGUCCAGUUUUUGGUUUCUGUAUUACUUCUCAUCUCCUAUAGAAGGAAGUUUCUCUGAUGAUGCCCAAGCAAGACUCUGCUCUAUAAGAUGUCAUUAGGAGUGAUUUUAUUGCUAUAUUUAGCAGAACAAUAGUAUUUAUUUUCUCUCUUAUGGCCUACCCAGUCAGGUUUUUAGCCACCCCAGCAGUGCCAGCUAUAAGUUCUAUCUCAUAGAGUUGGCCUUAAAUCCAAUCAGAUAUUCGUUGGUUACUCCAAUAGGCUUUGAAUCACUAUCGUACUAGUGUAUCUUACAGUCAGGUCACCAUUGUAAAUCAAAGAGUUUGUAGCUCCUUUGAUAGCAGCUCCAUGAACAAUCAGUUAGUAGGGAUGAAGGCUCUAGUUAGACAGCAGCAUCAGUUCUCUGUGUUCACUGAGAUGUGUAGAUGGUCUCCUUAACAGCAGGGCCUCCCAUCAGUUUGUAUAGAGCAACCAUUAGUCUUGGCAGUCACCUGAGUUGAUUGGGGGUUUCCAUGUGGGCUCAUUUAACCUACAACUCAAUUAGAUGUAACCCAUUUCUGGCACUGGAAGAUUUACUUGAUGGUAACUGGGGAUUUCUUCCCCCUGUUAUUUGAUGAUUCCAUUUAUAUUUAUUUCAUAUAUGGAUAUAUUUCAAGCAACUUCCACUGUAGUAGGUUUCUAUAUUAUCCCUCAAAUGACCCUCAUUUUAAGUUGUCACUCUCCCUAUUUCUCCAUACCCCCUCUCCCUCUGUCUCUCAAUUUUAUCCUCCUGUUCCAGUCUCUCCCCCUCCAUUGAGAUCCUUCCCUUCUCCCUAAUCCCUUACUCUUUACCCAGCCUAUGUGGUUACAUGGAUUAUAGCAUACUUAAGGAAAAUAUAGAAGUUGACAUCCAUAUGUUUGUGUUUGGAAUAUCUUACUCAUGACUUUUUUUUUCUAGCUCCAUCCAAAUACUUUUAAAGUUUAUUGUUUUGUUUCUUUUAACAGCCAAGUAAUAUUCCAUUUUGUAAAUGUACUCCACUUUUUCAUUGAUGCACAUGUAGGCUAUUUGAAAUUUUUGGCUAUUAUAAAUAAAGCAGCAGUGAACAUAUUUGGACAGGUGUCUCUGUGGUACAAUAUAGAGUCAUUUGGGUAUGUGCCCAAGAGUCCAACAGACUCUAAAAGAAUCAUUUCUUAAAAUUCAUAACUGUAAACUAUAAUUACUCCUUACAUUCCUUGUCUAUGUCCUGUUUGCAUUAGAACUUUCUGCUCAUGUUUUGUUUUGUUUUGUUUUCUCCUAUUUCCUUUCCCUAGUAGGUCAUUUUUGUCUCUAUCAUAGCACCAUAAUAAAAUUACAACUAUUAAACUCUAAUAGAUAAGUCAUUUGUGGAGAAACUAAUGAUCUGAAAUUUUCAACCUUAAUUUAUUUGUAUGCUGUGAAAAUUAUAAUACAAGCUAUUCAAGAAACUAGGAAUAGACAUACUUAUGACCCAGGCUAUAUACCAGAAAGACUUCAGAUGAGUACCACAGACAGACCUUUACCUCUGUAUUUAAUACUGCAUAAUUCUUGAUAGUCAGAAAUGGUCCCAGCCUAGAUGUCCACAGAUGAAUAGAAAAAGAAGAUAGAUAGUCAGACAGACAGACAGGCAGACAGAUGAAUUCUAAUCAGCUAGGAAAAAAAAUGCAAUGACAUUUACAAGGAAAUGGGUAGAACUAGGAAUAUUAAGUGAAAUAAGCAGAUUCAGCAAAAUACCAUGUUAGAACAUAAAAUUACAUAUGUGUGUGUUUGCAUAUAUAUGUGUGUAGAUCAUAAAACUAGAAAGGUGAUUAUGAGGGGGAUGGAAAGAAUGAAGAAAUGAUGGCAAAGACUGUCUUAGGGACAGGAACCAGCCCUGGGGAGACGGGGCGCCAUGGGGAAGACCAGCCCUGGGGAGACGGGGCGCCAUGGGGAAGAACAGCGCCAGGGAAUGAUGGUCGCCGAGUUACAAUGAUAUGUAUGCAUGAAUUUCCCUACUGCCUGUUAACUUUGUGUGCUCACCUAAGGAGUAAACUUAAAAGUUUCAAAAAUAUUCAAAUACUGAUUGUAACUAAAGGAUGAAUUUUGUGACAGUCCAAAAUUUUUGAGAUGACUAUGAUAUAUGACUUUAUAAAUAUAAACUUUAAGUUAAUACAUAACAGAAAAUUACAAAGUAGUCUGAUUAUCAAAACACGAGGAAGGAAGAUAAGUUUUACCUAAGCACUUGACUUUGUCGCUCUUGCUUCUACUAUUCGAUGUGAUAGCAUCAUCCCAGUAUUAUCUGUUUGUUUCACAUCUACCUCCC